rnacentral:rRNA from 1 species
GACGAACGCUGGCGGCAUGCCCAAUACAUGCAAGUCGAGCGAACAGAUGAAGUGCUUGCACUUCUGACGUUAGCGGCGAACGGGUGAGUAACACGUAAGGAAUCUACCUAUAAGCGGGGGAUAACAUUCGGAAACGGGUGCUAAUACCGCAUAAUAUCUUCUUCCGCAUGGAAGAAGAUUGAAAGACGGCUCUGCUGUCACUUAUAGAUGACCUUGCGGUGCAUUAGUUAGUUGGUGGGGUAACGGCCUACCAAGACGAUGAUGCAUAGCCGACCUGAGAGGGUGAUCGGCCACAUUGGGACUGAGACACGGCCCAAACUCCUACGGGAGGCAGCAGUAGGGAAUCUUCCGCAAUGGGCGAAAGCCUGACGGAGCAAUGCCGCGUGAGUGAAGAAGGCCUUCGGGUCGUAAAACUCUGUUAUAAGAGAAGAACAAAUUGUAGAGUAACUGCUACAGUCUUGACGGUAUCUUAUCAGAAAGCCACGGCUAACUACGUG